AGAGUUUGAUCCUGGCUCAGGAUGAACGCUAGCGGCAGGCUUAACACAUGCAAGUCGAACGGUAACAGAUCCAGCUUGCUGGAUGCUGACGAGUGGCGCACGGGUGCGUAACGCGUAUGCAACCUACCCUUGACAGGGGGAUAGCCCAGAGAAAUUUGGAUUAAUACCCCGUAAUACUUUUAGAUGGCAUCAUCUAGAUUUUAAAACUCCGGUGGUCAAGGAUGGGCAUGCGUCCCAUUAGUUAGUUGGUAAGGUAACGGCUUACCAAGGCAUCGAUGGGUAGGGGUUCUGAGAGGAUGAUCCCCCACACUGGUACUGAGACACGGACCAGACUCCUACGGGAGGCAGCAGUGAGGAAUAUUGCGCAAUGGAGGAAACUCUGACGCAGCCAUGCCGCGUGCAGGAAGACUGCCUUAUGGGUUGUAAACUGCUUUUAUAUGGGAAGAAACCUUUCUACGUGUAGAAAGCUGACGGUACCAUACGAAUAAGGACCGGCUAACUCCGUGCCAGCAGCCGCGGUAAUACGGAGGGUCCAAGCGUUAUCCGGAUUCAUUGGGUUUAAAGGGUGCGUAGGCGGGACACUAAGUCAGUGGUGAAAUCUCACAGCUCAACUGUGAAACUGCCAUUGAUACUGGUGACCUAGAGUAUGAUUGAAGUGAGUGGAAUAUGGCAUGUAGCGGUGAAAUGCAUAGAGAUGCCAUAGAACACCGAUAGCGAAGGCAGCUCACUAAGCCAUAACUGACGCUGAUGCACGGAAGCGUGGGUAGCGAACAGGAUUAGAUACCCUGGUAGUCCACGCUGUAAACGAUGAUUACUCGCUGUUGGCGAUACACUGUCAGUGGCUGAGCGAAAGCAUUAAGUAAUCCACCUGGGGAGUACGGUCGCAAGAUUGAAACUCAAAGGAAUUGACGGGGGCCCGCACAAGCGGUGGAGCAUGUGGUUUAAUUCGAUGAUACGCGAGGAACCUUACCAGGGCUUAAAUGUAUGUUGACUAACUUGGAAACAGGUUUUUCUUCGGACAAUAUACAAGGUGCUGCAUGGUUGUCGUCAGCUCGUGCUGUGAAGUGUCGGGUUAAGUCCCACAACGAGCGCAACCCCUAUUCUUAGUUGCCAGCGAGUCAAGUCGGGGACUCUAAGAAAACUGCCAGCGCAAGCUGUGAGGAAGGUGGGGAUGACGUCAAAUCAUCACGGCCCUUACGUCCUGGGCUACACACGUGCUACAAUGGUGCAUACAGAGGGCAGCUACCUGGUGACAGGAUGCGAAUCUCGAAAGUGCAUCUCAGUUCGGAUUGAAGUCUGCAACUCGACUUCAUGAAGCUGGAAUCGCUAGUAAUCGCGUAUCAGCCAUGACGCGGUGAAUACGUUCCCGGGCCUUGUACACACCGCCCGUCAAGCCAUGGAAGCUGGGGGUACCUGAAGUCGGUGACCGCAAGGAGCUGCCUAGGGUAAAACUAGUAACUGGGGCUAAGUCGAAACAAGGU
rnacentral:rRNA from 1 species